AUGCAGCCCCUCGCCGGGAUACUCGCCGCGGUCCUCACCUCCGCCGCUGCCAUGGCAGCUGGCGCCUCGCCUGUUGCCAUCAACGGGACAUGCUCCUUGGUUACCGCCGACGCCUACCCCGGCUACGACUACUGCGUGAGCGUACUCUCCUCCGAGCCGUCCGCCGCCAGUGACGGGCGUGGUCUCGCCGUCCUUGCCGCCAACGCCACCGCGCACAACGUCACGCGCACGAUCGGGCUCAUCGACAACCUGCUCGACAGCCUCACCGAAUGCUCGGAGUUGUACGGGCGCCAGAUGGCCGACAAGGUGGCCGGCGCCCUCGGAGACCUCAUGGCCGGACGCGACCCAUCUGAGGCUGUGAGCAAGUUGAUUGACGCCUACGGUCUGGGCCCUCUCAACUGCUUCAUCGUCCUCAGCGAGAGGUGGGGCUUCGCUAGGGAACCUCUGGCGCAGGAGAACUCGGACAACAUGGCCUUGGCCCUUUUCGCCAGGGAAAUUGCGACGCUGAUCACCAAGUCCUCUAGAUCAUCAAACGGCAGUGAUCAGCAUCUCGCCGGAGCCCGAGUCAUCAACGCGACAUGCUCCACUUUAUUGUACGACAAAUACCCUGGCCACAACUACUGCUUCGUUGUCCUCUCCUCCGACCCGGUGGCGGCCGCCGCUGCCAGGGACACGCGCGAUCUCGCCAUCGUCGCCACCAACGCCACCGCGCGCAGCAUCACGUCCACGGUCAAGCUCAUCCAAGGCCUACUCUCCGACCUUGCUGAGUGCAAGCUUUCCUACGGUGACCGUAUGGGCAAGAGAGUCGACAGCGCUCUCGGCGACCUCAUCGCCGGACGCAGCCUCGUCGGAGCGGCCAACAAGCUGGCCGAUGCCUCGCGUGAUGCUAUCGAAUGCGACGUGGUGAUGUCUAGGAGGAGGGGCGCUACUAAGAAUGUCCUAUACCAGCAGAACACGGAGAAUUUCGUCUCCGCACACUUUGCC
rnacentral:rRNA from 1 species